rnacentral:rRNA from 1 species
GUGGGGAAUCUUGCGCAAUGGGCGAAAGCCUGACGCAGCCAUGCCGCGUGAAUGAUGAAGGUCUUAGGAUUGUAAAAUUCUUUCACCGGGGACGAUAAUGACGGUACCCGGAGAAGAAGCUCCGGCUAACUUCGUGCCAGCAGCCGCGGUAAUACGAAGGGGGCUAGCGUUGCUCGGAAUUACUGGGCGUAAAGGGCGCGUAGGCGGACAGCUUAGUCAGAGGUGAAAGCCCAGGGCUCAACCUUGGAAUUGCCUUUGAUACUGGCGGUCUUGAGUUUGGGAGAGGUGAGUGGAACUCCGAGUGUAGAGGUGAAAUUCGUAGAUAUCCGGAGGAACACCAGUGGCGAAGGCGGCUUCCUGGACAGUAACUGACGCUGAGACGCGAAAGCGUGGGGAGCAAACAGGAUUAGAAACCCUUGUAGUCC